GACGAACCGUGCGACCGUUGUUCGGAAUCACUGGGCUUAAAGGGCGCGUAGGCGGCUCUCUUGGUCGUGGGUGAAAUCCCCCAGCUUAACUGGGGAAGGGCUUACGAUACCGGGGGGCUCGAGGGAGGAAGGGGCGGUCGGAACUGUCGGUGGAGCGGUGAAAUGCGUUGAUAUCGACAGGAACGCCGGUGGCGAAAGCGGACCGCUGGCCCUCUUCUGACGCUGAGGCGCGAAAGCCAGGGGAGCGAACGGG
rnacentral:rRNA from 1 species